UACGUAGGGUGCAAGCGUUGUCCGGAAUUAUUGGGCGUAAAGAGCUCGUAGGUGGCCUGUCGCGUCGGCUGUGAAAACUCGGGGCUCAACUCCGAGCUUGCAGUCGAUACGGGCAGGCUAGAGUUCGGCAGGGGAGACUGGAAUUCCUGGUGUAGCGGUGAAAUGCGCAGAUAUCAGGAGGAACACCGGUGGCGAAGGCGGCUCACUGGCUCGUUUCUGACGCUCAGGCGCGACAGCGUGGGGAUCAAACAGG
rnacentral:rRNA from 1 species